CCUGCGCUAUCGAAGAAUAAGCUGCUCCAAUUUUCCGGAUCUAACCCUUGCCAGUGGUUAGAGGCGGAGACUCAGCUAUGUAGGAGGCGACGUUUCUCACCAAGUAUAUGAAAUCUAUAGGAGGACACGUUGAGGGCUUCGAAGAUGAUGCGGAACAGGGCACUCAGCAACCCCAAAAUCAAAGUGCUUUGGAAUUCGGAGGUGGUAGAUUGCGACUAGCCAUGAGCUAGAGGAACUUUCUGUUGAAGUAGAGUAGAUACUGGUGGAAUUGAAAUGGAUCUGUCUGCUAAAUAGUAAAUGAUUGUUCACUGAAGUUGUACCAGAAAAGACCCAAACUAAUCGGUUCUUCCGACUCUUCCGACGGCGACGAACAUUGUUCUCUGGGAAUGAUAAUAAAAUCAAAAUGGUGAACAAGACAAGCAUCAGAUCACACAGACAUAUCAUAAGACAUGGCCACUCCCACUGCCACUGCCACCCAGAUUGUUGAGAAAUUAAUUGAAACUGAAUGUACACCCAGAAGGUGGUUUCUUCUCUGCAACUUUCAGAGACACUUCCAUUCUCCUUCCCUUGUGCCAGCUCCC